rnacentral:rRNA from 1 species
UACGUAGGGUCCAAGCGUUGUCCGGAUUUAUUGGGCGUAAAGAGCUCGUAGGCGGCCACCGCAAGUCGACUGUGAAAUCUCCGGGCUUAACCCGGAAAGGUCAGCCGAUACUGCGGGGCUAGAGUGCAGAAGGGGCAACUGGAAUUCUCGGUGUAGCGGUGAAAUGCGUAGAUAUCGAGAGGAACACCUGCGGCGAAGGCGGGUUGCUGGGCUGACACUGACGCUGAGGCGCGAAAGCUAGGGGAGCGAACGGG